rnacentral:rRNA from 1 species
AGCAGCCGCGGUAAUUCCAGCUCCAAUAGCGUAUAUUAAAGUUGUUGCAGUUAAAAAGCUCGUAGUUGAAUUUCGGGACUAGUACGUCGGUCGUGCCUUCGGUACGUACUGGUGUUACUGAUUCCUACCUUCUGACGAAUCAUCAUGUCAUUAAUUUGGUGUGGCGGGGAAUCAGGACUGUUACUUUGAAAAAUUGAGUGUUUAAAGCAGGCUCGCGCUUGAAUACAUUAGCAUGGAAUAAUGAAAUAGGACGUUGACCCUAUUUUGUUGGUUUCUAGGAUUGACGUAAUGAUUAAUAGGGAUAGUUGGGGGCAUUAGUAUUCAAUUGUCAGAGGUGAAAUUCUUGGAUUUAUUGAAGACUAACUACUGCGAAAGCAUUUGC